AGGACGAACGCUGGCGGCGUGCCUAACACAUGCAAGUCGAGGGGUGAUUUCGGUCAUCACUGGCGCACGGGUGAGUAACGCGUAGAUCAUCUGCCCCUAUCACUGACAUAACAGUUCUAACGGACUGCUAAUAUCAGAUGAGGUGAGCAAUCAUCAAAGUUUCGACGGAUAGGGAUGAGUCUGCGUCUGAUUAGGUAGUUGGUGAGGUAACGGCUCACCAAGCCGACGAUCAGUAACUGGUCUGAGAGGACGAACAGUCACACUGGAACUGAGACACGGUCCAGACUCCUACGGGGAGGCAGCAGUGAGGAAUAUUGCACAAUGGGAGGAAUCCUGAUGCAGCGACGCCGCGUGCGGGAUGAAGGGGCUUAGCCUCGUAAACCGCUGUCGGAGGGGACGAAUGGUACAUUUGAUGUACUGAGACGGUACCCUCAAAGGAAGGAUCGGCUAACUACGUG
rnacentral:rRNA from 1 species